rnacentral:rRNA from 1 species
AUGCAGUCGAACGAACUCUUCGGAGUUAGUGGCGGACGGGUGAGUAACACGUGGGAACGUGCCUUUAGGUUCGGAAUAACUCAGGGAAACUUGUGCUAAUACCGAAUGUGCCCUUCGGGGGAAAGAUUUAUCGCCUUUAGAGCGGCCCGCGUCUGAUUAGCUAGUUGGUGAGGUAAAGGCUCACCAAGGCGACGAUCAGUAGCUGGUCUGAGAGGAUGAUCAGCCACAUUGGGACUGAGACACGGCCCAAACUCCUACGGGAGGCAGCAGUGGGGAAUCUUGCGCAAUGGGCGAAAGCCUGACGCAGCCAUGCCGCGUGAAUGAUGAAGGUCUUAGGAUUGUAAAAUUCUUUCACCGGGGACGAUAAUGACGGUACCCGGAGAAGAAGCCCCGGCUAACUUCGUGCCAGCAGCCGCGGUAAUACGAAGGGGGCUAGCGUUGCUCGGAAUUACUGGGCGUAAAGGGAGCGUAGGCGGACAUUUAAGUCAGGGGUGAAAUCCCGGGGCUCAACCUCGGAAUUGCCUUUGAUACUGGGUGUCUUGAGUAUGAGAGAGGUGUGUGGAACUCCGAGUGUAGAGGUGAAAUUCGUAGAUAUUCGGAAGAACACCAGUGGCGAAGGCGACACACUGGCUCAUUACUGACGCUGAGGCUCGAAAGCGUGGGGAGCAAACAGGAUUAGA